rnacentral:rRNA from 1 species
GACGAACGCUGGCGGCGUGCCUAAUACAUGCAAGUCGAGCGAAGUUUUUCUGGUGCUUGCACUAGAAAAACUUAGCGGCGAAACGGGUGAGUAACACGUAAAGAACCUGCCUCAUAGACUGGGACAACUAUUGGAAACGAUAGCUAAUACCGGAUAACAGCAUUAACUGCAUGGUUGAUGUUUAAAAGUUGGUUUUGCUAACACUAUGAGAUGGCUUCGCGGUGCAUUAGCUAGUUGGUGGGGUAAAGGCCUACCAAGGCGACGAUGCAUAGCCGACCUGAGAGGGUGAUCGGCCACACUGGGACUGAGACACGGCCCAGACUCCUACGGGAGGCAGCAGUAGGGAAUCUUCCGCAAUGGGCGAAAGCCUGACGGAGCAACGCCGCGUGAGUGAAGAAGGAUUUCGGUUCGUAAAGCUCUGUUGUUAGGGAAGAAUGAUUGUGUAGUAACUAUACACAGUAGAGACGGUACCUAACCAGAAAGCCACGGCUAACUACGUGCCAGCAGCCGCGGUAAUACGUAGGUGGCAAGCGUUGUCCGGAAUUAUUGGGCGUAAAGCGCGCGCAGGUGGUUUAAUAAGUCUGAUGUGAAAGCCCACGGCUCAACCGUGGAGGGUCAUUGGAAACUGUUAAACUUGAGUGCAGGAGAGAAAAGUGGAAUUCCUAGUGUAGCGGUGAAAUGCGUAGAGAUUAGGAGGAACACCAGUGGCGAAGGCGGCUUUUUAGCCUGUAACUGACACUGAGGCGCGAAAGCGUGGGGAGCAAACAGG